CUUGCAACAGUUCACUAACUCAUACAAUCAAUACAUCUACAAAGGCACACAAUUUAUUGUAAGAAAUGGAGAGGCUCUCGAGAAGAAGACUCUGCAGGAGGCUGAACAUCACAAUAAAUCAAUGAUUGCCAAAUACGGACUGCAAGAGCAGUACAUCAGUAGAUACAAAGGGUGUGGAGUUUUCGCGACUCACACAAUAUGUAAAGGAGACUUUGUCCUGGAAUACAGAGGAGAACUUUUAACUGAAAAGGAGGCUCUUGCCCAAAUUACCAGAAACCAUGAGGCAGAGACGGUCUUAUUUAAUUUUAAAUGGCAUGGGCAGAAUUGGUGCCAGUUCAAGUACAUCUUUAGGAUGUAAAG